rnacentral:rRNA from 1 species
UACGGGGGGGGCAAGCGUUGUUCGGAAUUACUGGGCGUAAAGGGCUCGUAGGCGGCCAACUAAGUCGGACGUGAAAUCCCUCGGCUUAACCGGGGAACUGCGUCCGAUACUGGAUGGCUUGAGUAUGGGAGAGGGAUGCGGAAUUCCUGGUGUAGCGGUGAAAUGCGUAGAUAUCUGGAGGAACACCGGUGGCGAAGGCGGCAUCCUGGACCAACACUGACGCUGAGGAGCGAAAGCCAGGGGAGCAAACGGG